CCCCCCUCAGUUUGGCUUGCAGCUCUCUGCGUUGCUGCUGCUUUCUCCUUUCACCGCACGUGUUUUUGCAUGGAGUGGGUGCCUCAGGGUGUGGGGGAACCCCCUCAUGUCCUGAAGCCCAUAGGGCAAACCCCAGGGCUCUGCACCCUUCCUGGCAAAUUAAAGAGGCUGAGGGCUGUGCUCCUGGUGCGGGCUGUCAGUCUUUCUGUCUGCCUGGAUCCCUCUGCCUUUGUGCACCUUUCCUCGCAAGCGGCAAUUUCUGACAGCUAAUAUUUCACAGAAACCGGAGCCAGCUCCCUCCCUCCCUCCUUUUUCCCCCUCUCUCUCUCUUCUGUUUAUGAAGCUGAGGGUAAGUGUUUAAUUAGUUGCCUAAUUGCCUGGGUAAUUGGUAGACAUACUCAGCUCUCCAAGUAAUCAGUCUGAACAGGCCUUGAAAAUAUCUGGCCCAAUAUUCAUUAGUGCAGUUAAAUCGUUAAACAGUUACUGUGUUCGGUUCCCGACAAAGCCCCGCACACGGCUGCAUCAUCGUGGGGCUUGGGAUGGAGCUGGGGGAUCCCAUGGGUGCAGCUCCAUCCCACACCCACCAGGCGAACAGUUGGGCUCCUGGCAGAUGGGAAGUCGACCUGAAAAUGAGCAUGGGACACACUCUGCCCACACCAGCGCUGCCAAGGACCAGCCCUGCUGUGCAGAAGGCAGGCCAGCCUCCAAUUCCUGCCCCCAGCCCACGCUGCCCCUCCGAAUAUUGCGGGACUUGGUGCGGUUCAUGCAACUCUAAAGCUGUCCAGAAUGAGCUGAAUCCUCUGGUGACUAAUUGCCCAAGUGUGUCUUUGUCUGCUCAGCCUUUCCCACUGAAAACGGAUCCUGAUUUUAUAAGCCGUAAGGAGCCUGAA
rnacentral:lncRNA from 1 species